rnacentral:lncRNA from 1 species
CGGCGGGGGGCCGGGGGGGCCCCGGACGCCGGGGGGGGGCCUUCCAGGGCCGGGCCUCGGGGGAGGUCGGUCGGCAGGCCGGGGGUCAACACCGCGGGGACAUGGGGGUCCGGGCUCCGGACGGUCUGUCGGGGGAUCCGGGGGUCGGUCGGUGGUCCCGGGGGGGCUCGGCGGGGACCGAAGAUCCGACUUCCAGCCGGGAUGGGGAAGGGGAAGGGGAAGGGGAAGGGGGGCCUAGCCGAGGCAGGCCAGGGGGGACUGUCUACAGGAGUCCGGCCUUGGGGGUGGAGAGGGUCGGUCAGUGGACCCCGGGGCUUGGUGGGGACAGGGGGUCCCUGACACGGCGGUGAUGGGCCCGGGGGGCGGCUGUCUCCACAAAGACACGGGCUCUGGCCUCCAGGAGGGGUGGAGGGGAGGUCAAUCAGCGGACCCAGGGGCUUGGGGGGGACAGGAGGGUCUGGCCUCCAGGGGCGGGGGCGGCCGUCGGUAGCGAGCUGGGGGUCCGUCUCCGGGAGGACACGGGGUCCGGUCUCCCGGGGGGUGGUCGGUCAGCAGACCUAGGGGCUCCGGGGGAACACGGGGGCUGGGGGCUGGUCUCUCAGCAGGUCUGGGGGUCUGUCUCCAGCGGGGCAGGGGGGGUCCGGCCUCCGGGGGGAGGUCAGUCAGCGGACGGGGGCCGUCUCAGGGGGACGAGGCGUCCGGUGGGUGGUCGGUCAGCAGGCCUGGGGGGUCCAGGGGGUCGGGCUUCCAAGGGGUGGUCGGUCAGCAGACCUAGGGGCUCCAGGGGGACCUGGGGUCCAGCUUCCAGUGGGUGGCUGGUCAGCGGGCCUGGGGGCUCCAGGGGGCCGGGGGGUUCGGCCUCUGGGGGGAGGUCAGUCAGCAGACGGAGAGCUGUCUCAGGGGGACAAGGGGUCCGGCCUCCAGUGGGUGGUCGGUCAGCAGACCUAGGGGCUCCAGGGGGACCUGGGGUCCAGCUUCCAGUGGGUGGCUGGUCAGCAGGCCUGGGGGCUCCAGGGGGCCAGGGGGGUUCGGCCUCUGGGGGGAGGUCAGUCAGCAGACGGAGAGCUGUCUCAGGGGGACACGGGGUCUGGCCUCCAGUGGGUGGUCGGUCAGCAGGCCUAGGGGCUCCAGAAGGACACGGGGUCCGGUCUGUAGUGGGUGGUCAGUCAGCAGGCCUGGGGGCUCCAGGGGACACAGGGUCUGGCUUCCAGUGGGUGGUCGUUCAGCAGGCCUGGAGGCUCCAGGGGGACACGGGGUCCAGUGGGUGGUCGGUCUGCAGGCCCGGGGGCUCCAGGGGAUACAGGGUCCAGUGCGUGGUCGGUUAGCAGGCCUGGGGGGGACAAGGGGUCCAGCUUCCAGCGGGUGGUCGGUCUGCAGGUCUGGAGGCUCCAGGAGGACACGGGGUCCAACGGGUGGUGGGUUAGCGGGUCUGGGGGGGACAAGGGCUCCAGUUUCCGGCGGGUGGUCGGUCUGCGGGCCUGGGAGCUCCAGAAGGACAGGGGGUCCAGGGGGUCCAGGGGGUGGUCGUUCAGCGGGUCUGGAGGCUCCAGAGGGGCACAGGAUCCAGCUUCCAGCGGGUGGUCGCUCUGCGGGUCCGGGGGCUCCAGGGGGUGGGGCUUGCAGGGGCCGCUCAGUCUGCAGACGGAGGGAGGGAGGGAGGGAGGGAAGGGGCGGCGGGGGCUGCAGCGCGCGGGUGGGCGGGUUGGCGGAGCGCGGCGGGAAGGGACGGGACGGGCCCGGGGGGCGGGGGGGGGAGGGGCGGGUGGGGCCGGGGGCACUUCCGGCCCGGCCGCCGUCCGUCCGUCCGUCCGUCCGUCCGUCCGUCGGCAAACCGCUCCCCCGGACCCCUCCGCCCCGGCGACCAGGUUCCGGGGCCAAGGCCCAACGCGGCCCGGCGGGGGAACCGCGGCCGCCCGGGGGCAGGCGGCACGCGGCGCAUGC